GGACCCCUGCCUUCUAGUUUCUUUGUAUUCCGUGGCUCAAAGAGACAUUUCUCCAAGUGCAAGCACUUCAGCAAAGGGUCCCAGGUCUUAGCCUGUCUCAGGGACAGGGUGCCUUGGGGACUUUGGAGGCAGGGCAGAGUCUGGAUACCCUGGACACCCUGAAGAGACCAAAGACAGUAUAAGAUGAUGUCCCUUCCAUUCAGCAAGCAUAGAGCGUGACGGAAGGCGCUGACUUCACACAUGCAAGAGGUAAGAACAUCUAAAGAAUUAGCAUGAAAUCUAAAGGCACUGACAUGGAAGCCUUCCAAAAUAUUGCUCAGCACAAAAAAGCAAGUGGCAAAACUAUACUUACAGGGUAACAGCACGUAUGUGAACAACCCCCAGGCUGCAGAAUAAUGCUGUAUGUUUUCUCUAAUUACAUAAGCAGGGACUCUGGAAAAUGUGGUAACGUGGGUUAUCUCUGUGGAGGGGACCAGCAUCAUAGGUGAUGAUCAAAGCGGACUUUAGCCUGAUCUGUAAUGUUUAAAUGUUUAUAAGGAAGGUCUAUUAAUAUAUCACAUGGUAUAAUUAAGAAUUAAUUUUUUAAUAGAAGAUCUACUAAGCACAUGUCUAGCUAAUGGCGACACAGUGGGUCCACCCACAUCUGGCUUCAAGGGUCCUUGCAUCACUGAUGUGCACACCUACAGGCCAGGGAGGGGCAGCAGCCCACACCAGUGAGAUCUGGAAAGGCCACCAGCUCAUCUGGUUCAAACUCCCUUUGCUUCCUCCCUCCUGUGCUUCUCUCUGCCCCUGAAACAACCUUUAGGUGGCAAUCAGCAUAUGGCCUUUGAGAAUGUCCCUUCCCCAGACUCUACUCCCAUCCCCACAAAUAAAGCUUAGGCCUGCUGACUUGAUCCAGCACUGGGAGACAGAGGACCAGAGGACCAGCCCCACAGAGUGUGAUACGGGGGGACACGAGGAAAGGAAGAGAGGCUGCAGUAGGCUGAAUUCAGCUGAACAACCACAAUGGCAAAUCCUUUCUAUCCACCACCCCUCCCCCCCCCCCCCCCCCCACCCACAGACCACCCCCACCCCAAGUGCUCCAGCAGUAGGUAAUUCAACAUACAACUUGUUUCUGUGUUCAUGAAUUUCAGGUUGAGAAGCUGGUCAAAAGUGAAUGCUAGAGUCUGGGAUCUGAAAGUCAGGGAGAGUCUAAGGCGUUUGUGGCUUUCUGAAGAAGGCAGACCCCUGCUUUUCUCUAGCGACUCCCCCCAUGUAGUCACCCACCCCUUAGAGCCAUGCAGUUGGCCCAGGCUCCUGAGUCCUGGGCUGAGCGAUUGGGGCCCACGGAUCUGAGAAAGAAGUUGGCUGUUUAUGGCUGGCUCUGUCCUAGCAGCCUGGCUAGGUCCUCUUGGGGCCACCUAGUUUUGCUCAACCCUUCCCAGCUGGCUUAGUAGUUCCAAAUUUAGGCUGGACUGUGAAGGCAAUAAGUUUCUUGUCUGUACCUUCCUGCUGCCUAAACUGCUAAGGGAUUAGGUCUUGAUUUUAGCAAUUGACACGGUCUUUUCCCUCCAGACCAGGUGAGUCAACUUCUCCUCUUAACAUGUUUGCCAGGAGCGAAAAUAACCUUCUUAACCACCUGACGCUUAAACCAAAGAUUCACUAAAUGUGCCAAUAGGAGUACUAUAUAUAUCAGCCAAAGACAAGGCCCAGCUGUGGGCCAUGAGAGCCUCCCACUGCUGGGUCUGCCGUUCAGCUCGAGAAACAAGCCAAGAAGAAAAGCAAUGAAUGAGAGUUCCUGUUGCUCCACGUUCGGUGUUGUCAGUGUUCUGGAUUUUGACCAUUCUAAUAGACAGUGCUUUGUGCCUGGAAAGAGACACAGGCUGCAAAGACUCAUCUGAACUGUCCAGAAACGUCUUUAAUCUUGACCAUUUUCAAACACAGAUGUCCACGGUGAAGAAUUUUCUAAGGAAUUCUUACAAUGCAGAGUCUGUUCAGAGGAUGCUGAUUUCAAAACCUCUGUACACAGGGCAUAAUGAAGAGGGAAAGAAAGUGCACAGCUUCCGGUAACUUAAGAAAAAGGAAGAAGAUUUGACAGGAAAUGCAAGACUACCCAAGUAGAAAGCAUGUAGCAUGCUGUGACUCAGAAUAAAGGAAAUGUAACUCGAAGUGUAACUCUUCUGGUCUAACACAGACCAGGGCUUGCCCUCAAGCACUGCAAAGGAUGCCAGUUUCCAGCUGUAUACAUAUGCACAAAUAAAACAGGAUGCAUGUAGAAUGUACUUGCCACGAUCGUGGGCAAGGGACUCUUACUCAUCUUUCAUCAAUGAUUUCGGUUCUAUAAUUUUCCAUGAAAUUUUAUUCUUUUAGGACUAUAAAAAUUCCAAUCACUCGUGAGCUGGUAAGGGAAAUGUAUAUUUAAUGUCUAUCAGUGCAGGAUGUGGGUAGAUUAACCAUUUAAUACCGAUUUGAACAGUCUGGUAAUCUAGGGAUUUAGGAAUGUAGGUGAAGCCACUACCCUGUUGGAUUUUAUUGCUGACUGUAUGUGCAUGUGUGAACUUGAGCCAGUGGAGGGAGGAAUUCAGUCCCCCGUUUCAGGACUUAUCAGUGCUGUGUGCCCUCAGUACCGUUCUUUGUGCCUCUCCUGCCCUGCUCUGUAUCCCAGGAGGCUGACCUCUGCAGGCUGUUUCCAAGCUUCUGUCUGUUUCCCAGGCUCUUAUCAUUAAUAUCACUACUUUUCCUUUCUUCUCCCUCCCUCCCUCCCUCCCUCCCUUCCUUUCUCUUCCUCUAGCUGGGUUUGGUCCAUCAGAAAUUGGAGGGUGGCAAAAGGGGAGAAGCCAGAGUACUGAUCAUCUUCCCUCUCUAGUAGUGGCUUUAUCUCUUCCUUGGCUCCAGCUUCCAAUGGACAGGCCCAGUAUGAUCCCAGCUUUGACUGGUCACCUAUGUCUCUCCAGCUUAGGAGUGGUAGCAGCUUAUAGCUAUGACCAGUCUGGGGUUGCUUUAGUGUCCCCUGCUGAGCUUCUAGCCUUUGUGGUCAACUUCCUACAUUAAAUUCCUUCUGUUUUAAAUACCCGGAGUGGUUUCUGUGUCCUAACUGGAUCCUGAAUGAUACAAUUGUUGUCAUCUAUUAAAUCAAGGCUUCCUUUAAUUUUAUACAGAAUCCCCUACUUUUAUAAUAAAAAUAAUAAUAGCUAAUGUAUAUUGAGCACUUUAUAAGUACCAGGUAAAAGUACUGAGUAAGUAACUCAGCAGAGGAUAACUACAGCUUUAGCCUCCAGCUUCUCUUGGCAGCAGCCAUGUUAUACUCCCUCGGAGGUACCAGCACCAGCUGCCCAUGAUCUCCUUGGUGGUCCAAAUACUAUGCACUUGGCGCUCCAGCCAGAAGUCUAAGGACCAACUAGGCACCCUAGAGUCGGGGUUGGGACUUCCUCCAAGCUCUACCUUCUAGGACCUCCCCCAGAGACUCUUCUCUUUUGGAUUCCAGCUCUAGGUGUGGCAGCUGCUUCCUUCAGUAACUGUCUGAUUUACCUCAGCAUCCUGGCUUUCCAACAUCUGGAAAUACAAUACAAUAUCCUGUAUUAAAUCUCCUCUGGUUGAAAUAUCUAGCAUGGUUUAUGUUACUCUGACUAGACCUUGACCAAUACAAAAGUCCUUCCACCUUAAUUCUAGUAAGUGUCCCACUGAUUCUAAACAAUUGGCACUUUCAGCCCAUUUAUUUCUAUAUGUAUCUCAACUAUACGAAGUUUAAGAGUUCUUAUCAUUACUAUCACUACUUUUUUAGAUAAUACGAAAAAAUUAUCAAAUAAUUGCACAGAUACUGUUUACAAAGAUAGAAAUGCUGCUGAAGUGAAAUUUUGGACUGACAGGCGGUGAUUAUGUGAUACUUUGAAAUGUUUAUCAUCAACUGAUGCAUCAAAGAUACACCUAGGGGGCUUCCCUGGUGGCGCAGUGGUUGAGAAUCUGCCUGCCAAUGCAGGGGACACGGGUUCGAGCCCUGGU